rnacentral:rRNA from 1 species
CCCGGUAAGGUGACCUGCGGAUGACAUUAA